rnacentral:misc_RNA from 1 species
GUGAAUCAUCGAAUUUUUGAACGCAAAUUGCACUUUCUGGUAUUCCGGAGAGUAUGCCUGUUUGAGGGUCAGUAAAUUAAAAAUCGGUGUUGUUGCUGCUGUUCAUGGUGACGCGGCGGAAUUGAGUUGUCUUUCCUUCGGUUAAGAGACUUAAAAUUUUGCAUGAUAUUCGAACUUAUUUAAAUUUCUUACGUACGUUUGAGAGAUCGAAGACUUUAUUUGGUUCGUGCCUCGUC